rnacentral:rRNA from 1 species
GAUGAACGCUGGCGGCGUGCUUAACACAUGCAAGUCGAGCGAACAGACCAGGAGCUUGCUCCUCUCUCGUUAGCCGCGCACGGGUGAGUCACACGUGUAUAAUGCCCUUAUCUUACUGGUAUAACUUCGGGAAUCCGGCUCUAAUCCCGUAUAAUAUAUUGAACCGCAUGGUUCAAUAGUGAAUGUCGGCUUUGCUGUCUCUUAUAGCUGCAUCCGCGCUGCAUUAGGUAGUUGUUAAGUAAACGGCUUACCACGGCGACGCUGCGUAGCCGACCUGAGAGGGUGAGCGGCCACACGAGAGCUGAGACACGGACCAGACUCCUGAGGGAGGCAGCAGUCGGGAAUGUGCCGCAAUGGGCGAAAACCUGACGCAGCGACGCCGCGUGAGUGAUGAAGGUCUUCGGAUCGUAAAACUCUGUUAUUAGGGAAGAACAAAUGUGUAAGUAACUAUGCACGUCUUGACGGUACCUGAUCAAAAAGCCACGGCUAACUACGUG